GUUGUAUGGUUAAGUGAYUAAGCGUAGACGGUGGAUGCCUUGGCAGUCAGAGGCGAUGAAGGACGUAUUAACUUGCGAUAAGCCCAGAUAAGGCAGUAAAAGCCAUUUGAGUCUGGGAUUUCCGAAUGGGGAAACCCACCUGCAUAAGCAGGUAUCUUAGCGUGAAUACAUAGCGCUAAGAGGACGAGUAGGACGGGACACGUGAUAUCUUGUCUGAACAUGGGGGGACCAUCCUCCAAGGCUAAAUACUCCUGACUGACCGAUAGUGAACCAGUACCGUGAGGGAAAGGCGAAAAGAACCCCUGUGAGGGGAGUGAAAUAGAACCUGAAACCGUCUACGUACAAGCAGUGGGAGCCUCUUCGUGGGGUGACCGCGUACCUUUUGUAUAAUGGGUCAGCGACUUAAUGUUAGUAGCAAGGUUAACCGCAUAGGGGAGCCGUAGGGAAACCGAGUCUUAACUGGGCGUMSAGUUGCUAGCAUUAGACCCGAAACCGAGUGAUCUAGCCAUGGGCAGGUUGAAGGUUGAGUAACAUCAACUGGAGGACCGAACUCACUAACGUUGAAAAGUUAGGAGAUGACCUGUGGCUAGGGGUGAAAGGCCAAUCAAACUCGGAGAUAGCUGGUUCUCCCCGAAAGCUAUUUAGGUAGCGCCUCGGACGAAUACUACCAGACCGCCAGCUAAGGUCCCAAAGUUAUCGCUAAGUGGGAAACGAUGUGGGAAGGCUCAGACAGCCAGGAUGUUGGCUUAGAAGCAGCCAUCAUUUAAAGAAAGCGUAAUAGCUCACUGGUCGAGUCGGCCUGCGCGGAAGAUGUAACGGGGCUAAGCGAUACACCGAAGCUGCGGCAAUGUCCUUAUGGAUAUUGGGUAGGGGAGCGUUGUGUAAGCYGUUGAAGGUGUGCUGAGAGGYAUGCUGGAGGUAUCACAAGUGCGAAUGCUGACAUGAGUAACGAUAAAGGGGGUGAAAAACCUCCUCGCCGGAAGACCAAGGGUUCCUGUCCAACGUUAAUCGGGGCAGGGUAAGUCGGCCCCUAAGGCGAGGCCGAAAGGCGUAGUCGAUGGGAAACGGGUUAAUAUUCCCGUACUGCUGCUUACUGCGAUGGGGGGACGGAGAAGGCUAGGUGGGCCUGGCGAUGGUMGUCCAGGUUCAAGUGCGUAGGCUGAUUUCUUAGGCAAAUCCGGGAAAUCAAGGCCGAGACACGAUGUCGAGCCACCAAGGUGGUGAAGUCAUUGAUGCCAUGCUUCCGGGAAAAGCCUCUAAGCUUCAGGUAAGUAGCAACCGUACUCCAAACCGACACAGGUGGUCGGGUAGAGAAUACCAAGGCGCUUGAGAGAACUCGGGUGAAGGAACUAGGCAAAAUGGUACCGUAACUUCGGGAGAAGGUACGCUGCCCGCGGUGAAGUCCCUUGCGGAUGGAGCUAUGGGCAGUCGCAGAUACCAGGUGGCUGCAACUGUUUAUUAAAAACACAGCACUGUGCAAAAUCGAAAGAUGACGUAUACGGUGUGACGCCUGCCCGGUGCCGGAAGGUUAAUUGAUGUGGUUAUCGCAAGAGAAGCCAUUGAUCGAAGCCCCGGUAAACGGCGGCCGUAACUAUAACGGUCCUAAGGUAGCGAAAUUCCUUGUCGGGUAAGUUCCGACCUGCACGAAUGGCGUAAUGAUGGCCACGCUGUCUCCACCCGAGACUCAGUGAAAUUGAAAUCGCAGUGAAGAUGCUGUGUACCCGCGGCUAGACGGAAAGACCCCGUGAACCUUUACUACAGCUUGGCACUGAACAUUGAGCCUACAUGUGUAGGAUAGGUGGGAGGCUUUGAAGCGGCGACGCCAGUUGUCGUGGAGCCAUCCUUGAAAUACCACCCUUGUAUGUUUGAUGUUCUAACUUAGCCCCRUUAUCYGGGGUGAGGACAGUGCCUGGUGGGUAGUUUGACUGGGGCGGUCUCCUCCCAAAGAGUAACGGAGGAGCACGAAGGUGGGCUAAUCACGGUCGGACAUCGUGAGGUUAGUGCAAUGGCAUAAGCCCGCUUAACUGCGAGAGUGACGGCUCGAGCAGGUACGAAAGUAGGUCAUAGUGAUCCGGUGGUUCUGAAUGGAAGGGCCAUCGCUCAACGGAUAAAAGGUACUCCGGGGAUAACAGGCUGAUACCGCCCAAGAGUUCAUAUCGACGGCGGUGUUUGGCACCUCGAUGUCGGCUCAUCACAUCCUGGGGCUGAAGUCGGUCCCAAGGGUAUGGCUGUUCGCCAUUUAAAGUGGUACGCGAGCUGGGUUUAGAACGUCGUGAGACAGUUCGGUCCCUAUCUGCCGUGGGCGUUGGAUGAUUGAGGGGAGCUGCUCCUAGUACGAGAGGACCGGAGUGGACGAACCGCUGGUGUUCGGGUUGUGUCGCCAGACGCAUUGCCCGGUAGCUAAGUUCGGCACAGAUAAGCGCUGAAAGCAUCUAAGCGCGAAGCUGGCCCCGAGAUGAGUCAUCCCUAGAGCUUCGAGCUCUCUAAAGGGUUGUCGUAGACGACGACGUUGAUAGGCAGGGUGUGUAAGCGCUGUGAGGCGUUGAGCUAACCUGUACUAAUUGCCCGUGAGGCUUAACCAUACAACACCCAAG
rnacentral:rRNA from 1 species